AGAUUGAACGCUGGCGGCAGGCCUAACACAUGCAAGUCGAGCGGUAGAGAGGUGCUUGCAUCUCUUGAGAGCGGCGGACGGGUGAGUAAUGCCUAGGAAUCUGCCUAGUGGUGGGGGAUAACGUUCGGAAACGGACGCUAAUACCGCAUACGUCCUACGGGAGAAAGCGGGGGACCUUCGGGCCUCGCGCCAUUAGAUGAGCCUAGGUCGGAUUAGCUAGUUGGUGAGGUAUGGCUCACCAAGGCGACGAUCCGUAACU
rnacentral:rRNA from 1 species